rnacentral:rRNA from 1 species
GCAAGUCGAGCGAGAAAGCCCUUCGGGGUGAGUACAGCGGCGGACGGGUGAGUAACGCGUAGGAAUCUACCUAGUAGUGGGGGACAACUCGUGGAAACGCGAGCUAAUACCGCAUACGCCCUACGGGGGAAAGCGGGGGAUCUUCGGACCUCGUGCUAUUAGAUGAGCCUGCGUAAGAUUAGCUAGUUGGUGGGGUAACGGCCUACCAAGGCGACGAUCUUUAGCUGGUCUGAGAGGAUGAUCAGCCACACCGGGACUGAGACACGGCCCGGACUCCUACGGGAGGCAGCAGUCGGGAAUAUUGCGCAAUGGGCGAAAGCCUGACGCAGCCAUGCCGCGUGUGUGAAGAAGGCCCUAGGGUUGUAAAGCACUUUCAAUUGGGAGGAAAAGCUAAUGGUUAAUAGCCAUUAGCCCUGACGUUACCUUUAGAAGAAGCACCGGCUAACUCCGUGCCAGCAGCCGCGGUAAUACGGAGGGUGCAAGCGUUAAUCGGAAUUACUGGGCGUAAAGCGCGCGUAGGCGGUUUUUUAAGUCGGAUGUGAAAGCCCCGGGCUCAACCUGGGAAUUGCAUCCGAUACUGGAUAACUAGAAUGCGGGAGAGGGAGGUAGAAUUCCAUGUGUAGCAGUGAAAUGCGUAGAUAUAUGGAGGAAUACCAGUGGCGAAGGCGGCCUCCUGGCUCGACAUUGACGCUGAGGUGCGAAAGCGUGGGGAGCAAACGGGAUUAGAUACCCCGGUAGUCCACGCCGUAAACGAUGUCUACUAGCUGUAGGGGUACUUGAGACCUUUGUAGCGC